AACGGCGCCGGCGGCGGCGCCAUGGAGUUGGGGUGGUUAGCGUUGGUGGGGGGAGGUCCUCUCAUUUCACCGGUCGUGGGGACCGAAGAGCUCGCGAGGGGUCUUUUGAUAGCGCGUUCCAGCAGGCGGCGCUAGUCGUCAAUGGGCGCGCCGACUUUUGCGGUUGAGCUGAAAGGCGCAAGACCGACGCGCUUCCCUGAGCGUCUCCCCCACAAACACGUAACUCGGCGUUUUUUGUUUUUUUUCUCGCUCUCUCCUUCCUCUCUUCCUGACGUCGGCGUGCACGCGGGCCGGCUGAACCUGACUUGAGCCGGCGGAGUGUGCGGGCUUUGAUUCUGCCGUCUGCAGGGGCGUGCCGAGACACUGUUGUGACGCGAAGGAACCGACGAGAGCGCCUGGCUACAUCCGCUUGAGCGUGCAGGCGGCUGCUGCGACGACGACGGAACAGAAGCUACUGGGUCGUGUGCGAGUGGCGGCCUGGGUGAAGAACGCCGAGAUGCUCACGAGGAUACCGCGAUGCAGCCAGCUGGCAGACGGCUCUAGAGUGGGACACUGCUGACGAAACGUUCGAGCCGGAGUGCCGGCUUCACCAAGCCACCCUGGGCCUCACCGAGUUUAUAACGCAAGAGCAACCUGCAAACAUGGAAUCAGCUGCCCAUGAGAGGUACACAAACGGAGAUGUGUAUCUUUACACUUGGCUUUCGUAGACUCUAAAAAAGUCAUGAGCCAUUGUAGUCCGAAUGUCUGCAAGCAGGCUCAGAAUCACAGAGUAAAAAUAUGCUUAGAUUCCUGCUUAAUGCAUCGUAAAAGCCCCUAGGCAUGUAGUGCAUAUACUUAAAUAUUAGGAGAUGCUAUAGUCCUACGUAAAUAAUAUAGGAUGGCAUGAACGAUCGGAUAGCACCUACAAAAAAACCGGAAAAAGUCGGCGCCUGCACGUAGAAAGCGGAAAUUUUCGUCAAAUGUGUGUUGCAGCGCUCAACUUGGUUUGAAUUUGUGAAAUUGUCCGAGUUGGGCUGCCCAUCUAAAACCCCCGUGGGUCCACCUCGGCUUUACGGGGGCCAAGUUCACGGAGAUGGGAACUCCAUGGCAGAAAAGCGUGGGCAUGCUCAACUUGGACAGCCCAUGUGAAACCCCCCAAGACGCAGUUCUAGUCCAAUAGAAACAGAACCAAACCCUUGAAAAUUUGACCGUUGACGGGCGAGUCGGGUUUAUAGCCAGAUGGCCAAAAGUCCUUCAAAACUAGGGCGGGCGCUGAGUAAUAUGGACACGAAUAAAAACAUAAACUUCAUCAAUAAAAUUUAAAAUGAACGUUUAAUGCGGCGAACUUGUGCCGAGAAACAUAAAGUAACAAAGACCAAAUAUCGUAAGGGUGCAGGCGAGCUGGUGAAAAUUAGCCAUGUUGGCUAAUAUUCUGUCUGUCUCCUAUUCCGUAUCUUCUACGUUUUGACCUUUGUUCUCUACGCCAGUCUCAGCUUAAUCCAACAUGGCUAACAAAGACCGUACAUACUUUCAAUGCGACGGACGGACGACUGCCUAAAGCAGCCAUGCGAAGCUCCUUUUGUAAGCGCGUGGGUAUCUAGAAGUAUCCGAGCUCGAACAAACAACAAGAUUCUCGAGUCAUUUGGAACAUUCCAGUCAUGCAAACAGAAGAAGGAUAAAAAGGACAAGCGCGCUGGCGGGGAUCAAACCCUCAAACCCUAACCCCAGCCAGCGGCGUAGGAGUUGAACACGCUGCUGACUCAGCUAUUCGCACGCAAUAUUAUCGUGUCCUUUUUUUUUCUUUUUCGCAGCAAAAAUAAACUACGCUUGGCUGAACGCUCAUUAAGGAAUUUUCGUAGAUGGUUUUCGCCGUCCCGCA